rnacentral:rRNA from 1 species
CUACGGGGGGCAGCAGUGAGGAAUAUUGGUCAAUGGGCGCGAGCCUGAACCAGCCAUCCCGCGUGCAGGAUGACGGCCCUAUGGGUUGUAAACUGCUUUUCUAUGCCAAGAAACCUGAUUACGUGUAAUCAGUUGCCGGUAGCAUAGGAAUAAGCAUCGGCUAACUCCGUGCCAGCAGCCGCGGUAAUACGGAGGAUGCAAGCGUUAUCCGGAUUCAUUGGGUUUAAAGGGUGCGCAGGUUGGCUUGUAAGUCAGUGGUGAAAUGCUGCCGCUUAACGGUAGAACUGCCAUUGAUACUGGGAGUCUUGAGUAUGGUUGAGGUAGGCGGAAUGUGUUGUGUAGCGGUGAAAUGCAUAGAUAUGACACAGAACGCCAAUUGCGAAGGCAGCUUACUAAGCCAUUACUGACGCUGAGGCACGAAAGCGUGGGGAGCGAACAGGAUUAGAUACCCCGGUAGUC